GACGGAGGAUGCAAGUGUUAUCCGGAAUCACUGGGCGUAAAGCGUCUGUAGGUGGUUUAAAAAGUCCACUGUUAAAAAUUGAAGCUUAACUUCAAAGAUGCAAUGGAAACUUUUAAACUUGAGUAUGGUAGGGGUAGAGGGAAUUUCCAGUGGAGCGGUGAAAUGCGUAGAUAUUGGAAAGACCACCAAUGGCGAAGGCACUCUACUGGGCCAUUACUGACACUGAGGAGCGAAAGCGUGGGGAGCGAACAGG
rnacentral:rRNA from 1 species